GAUGAACGCUGGCGGCGUGCUUAACACAUGCAAGUCGAACGGGAAAUAUUUCAUUGAUCCUUCGUUGGAUUUGAUUUAUUUCUAGUGGCGGACGGGUGAUUACCGCGUGUGUAGCCUGCCUUAUACAGGGGGAUAACAGUCACAAAUGGCUGCUGAUACCGCAUAUGCGCACACAGCUGCAUGGCCCAGUUUGAAAAACUCUGGUGGUAUAAGAUGGACCCGCGUUGGAUUGGCUAGUUGGUGGGGUAACGGCCCACCAAUGCGACGACCCAUAGCCGGCAAGAGAGAGUGGACGGCGACAUUGGGACUGGGACACGGUCGAGAAUCCUGCGGGAGGCAGGAGAGGGGAAUAUAGCAAAACGGGGGAAAUCAUGAUGGAGCGACGACGGGUGAAGGAAGAAGUAUGGCGGUAAGGAAAGUAAGAUCAGAAGGGAAGAUAGUGACGGUACCUGAAGAAGAAGCCCCGGCUAACUACGUG
rnacentral:rRNA from 1 species